CGCUUCGAUCUGUACUGUUAGUGUUUGUAUAUUUGUAUACAUCGUACUUGACCUUUGCUGAUAAAUAUAAUCUCCUCAAUAAUAAGUAUUAUAUAUUUUUAUGCUUUAACGUAGUGUUAGGUAUGACAGUAUAUAAAAGGUCAAGUACGAUGUAUACAAACACUAAACAGCACAAGUCGCUUGAAGCGCCUUCGCUCGAAACGUCGAAGUUCUCCUUGUAUUUUUCAGGUAGUUGUAUCCCUAUCAAUCCGCAGCUUUCGUACAUAUUUCCUCCAGAAUUUCUAGUUGUUUUCAAUCGAUUUCGGUGUAAAAAGUAUCAAAUUUUCGACGAGAAAUUCCAAAUAC